AGUGAACGCUGGCGGUAGGCCUAACACAUGCAAGUCGAACGGCAGCACAGUAAGAGCUUGCUCUUACGGGUGGCGAGUGGCGGACGGGUGAGGAAUACAUCGGAAUCUACUUUUUCGUGGGGGAUAACGUAGGGAAACUUACGCUAAUACCGCAUACGACCUACGGGUGAAAGCAGGGGAUCUUCGGACCUUGCGCGAUUGAAUGAGCCGAUGUCGGAUUAGCUAGUUGGCGGGGUAAAGGCCCACCAAGGCGACGAUCCGUAGCUGGUCUGAGAGGAUGUUCAGCAAAAUGGAAACGGAGACACGGUCCAGACUCUAACGGGAGGCAGAAGGGGGAAUUAUUGGACAAGGGGCGCAAGCCUGUCCCAGCCAUACCGGGUGGGUGAAGAAGGCUUUCGGUUGGUAAAGCCCUUUUGUUGGGAAAAAAAAGCAGCAGUUUAAUCCCCCGCUUUUCUGCCGUUACCAAAAGAUUAAGCACCGCCUACCUUCGU
rnacentral:rRNA from 1 species